AUUGAACGCUGGCGGCAUGCCUUACACAUGCAAGUCGAACGGCAGCACGGGGGCAACCCUGGUGGCGAGUGGCGAACGGGUGAGUAAUAUAUCGGAACGUACCCUGGAGUGGGGGAUAACGUAGCGAAAGUUACGCUAAUACCGCAUACGAUCUAAGGAUGAAAGUGGGGGAUCGCAAGACCUCAUGCUCCCGGAGCGGCCGAUAUCUGAUUAGCUAGUUGGUGGGGUAAAGGCCUACCAAGGCAUCGAUCAGUAGCUGGUCUGAGAGGACGACCAGCCACACUGGGACUGAGACACGGCCCAGACUCCUACGGGAGGCAGCAGUGGGGAAUUUUGGACAAUGGGGGGCAACCCUGAUCCAGCAAUGCCGCGUGAGUGAAGAAGGCC
rnacentral:rRNA from 1 species